CAGCUAGUUGGUGAGGUAACGGCCCACCAAGGCGAAGACGGAUAGCUGGCCUGAGAGGGUGGCCAGCCACAUUGGGACUGAGACACUGCCCAGACUCCUACGGGAGGCUGCAGUCGAGGAUCUUUUGCAAUGGGCGAAAGCCUGACAAUGCGACGCCGCGUGAGCGAUGACGGCCUUCGGGUUGUAAAGCUCUGUUUGCCGGGAAGAAAUGCCCGAGGUAAAUAAUCUCGGGAGCUGACGGUACCGGCAGAGGAAGCCACGGCUAACUCCGUGCCAGCAGCCGCGGUAAUACGGAGGUGGCGAGCGUUGUUCGGAUUCAUUGGGUGUAAAGGGCAUGUAGGUGGUUCGGUAAGUCGAAUGUGAAAUCCUUUGGCUCAACCAUAGAAUUGCAUUCGAAACUGCCAGACUUGAGUUCAGGAGAGGAAAGCGGAAUUCCCGGUGUAAGAGUGAAAUCUGUAGAGAUCGGGAGGAACACCAGUGGCGAAGGCGGCUUUCUGGACUGAUACUGACACUGAAAUGCGAAAGCUAGGGGAGCAGACAGGAUUAGAUACCCUGGUAGUCCUAGCCGUAAACGAUGGGCACUAGGUGUCGGGCCGCAAGGCUCGGUGCCGCAGUUAACACACUAAGUGCCCCACCUGGGGAGUACGACCGCAAGGUUGAAACUCAAAGGAAUUGACGG
rnacentral:rRNA from 1 species